CAGUAGCCGCGGGAAUACGAAGGGGGCUAGCGUUGUUCGGAUUUACCGGGCGUAAAGCGCACGUAGGCGGAUCGAUCAGUCAGGGGUGAAAUCCCAGAGCUCAACUCUGGAACUGCCUUUGAUACUGUCGAUCUGGAGUAUGGAAGAGGUGAGUGGAAUUCCGAGUGUAGAGGUGAAAUUCGUAGAUAUUCGGAGGAACACCAGUGGCGAAGGCGGCUCACUGGUCCAUUACUGACGCUGAGGUGCGAAAGCGUGGGGAGCAAACAGGAUUAGAUACCCCUGUAGUCCCUGUCUCUUAUAC
rnacentral:rRNA from 1 species